ensembl:lncRNA
CUACAUUUACAUAGCACCUACUAUGUGCCAGGCACUCAUUUUUAUCCUCACAACCUGGGAGGUAGGUGUUAUUAUUAUCCCCAUUUUACAGUUAAGGAAACUGAAGCAGUGACUUUAAGUGUCUUGACCCAGGUAACUACAGCUAGUAAGUGUCUGAGGCUGGAUUGGAACUCAGAUCUCUAUCCACUAUGCCACCUAGCUGCCUCAAGUAUAUGUAAAGUUGUAACAGCUGUAUGUCUAUUAUCAAUGUCUCCAGGAUUGGGACAUUAGGAAGUUUGUUUAAAACAGGGAUUGUUAACCUAGAGUCCACAGACCCCUAAUAAUUCCAUGGAUAAAUUUCAAGAGAUUUCAUGAACUUGAGUGGAAAAACAAAUUACAUCUAUAUUUUCAUAAAACUCAAAAAUUUAGCAUCUUCUAGGGAAAAAAAAAUCAGUCAUUCUGAAAAGGGUUCCUUAGGCUUCACCAGAUUGCCCAAGGAAGCCAUAGCAAAAAAAAAAAAAAUUAAGAAUCUUUGGGAAAAAAAGAGGUGUUCCAAGGCUGCUGUCAGGUGAAGGGUUGUCUUUUGGUAGCCUGUCAAAAGUGUCACCAGCAUCAGUUGUUUGCCAGACUUUAUUUUAAUAUAUUAUAUUUUUAAGGAAAUCUUUCAGUGGAUAAAUGGAGAGAAGAUUUAGGACAUAUGCAAAAGCUUCAUCCUUGGUCCAGAUACCUCAAAAGGCCCUUCCUUACAAGACCCAAUCAGUGCUAAUACCAUGCCCACCACAUAGGAUUGCACUGUUAUCAAAACAAGACCACCAGUCCCAGGCUGAGAAGAUGGUCUGCCUCAGACAUCAAUUCUCCCCACACAGGUCCUCCCCUGUAUGCCAUAAGACUGAGCCCCUAAAGAACCACAAUGACAAGAUCAAGAAUAAAUAUGAGCUGCCGACACCACCACACCCUGAUCAUCAUGGAAUUCACAUUAUUACAGCAGAGCUGAAAUGUAAGACCACAGCUUCAGUAGACUUAUUCCAGUGGGGAGAGGAGUUAACGAGCCCCAAACAAAAGUUCUCCCCAACUGUUGUGCCAAGAGGUCAGGCUGAGGCCAAACAUGGUCCUCAUUACAAGGUCAAACAUAACUUGGGUUCUAAACAGCAGACCAAAGCCAAACUUCCUCCCCAGCACCAUCCUAAAAAUCAAGCCACAUUUCUUCCCUUCAUUUGCCAACCUGGCAGGACUCCACCACACUAUCAAUCCCCAACUAAGUAUCUAUUGAUAAAUAUACACACUGGUCCAGAUUGGCAACCUACCCCUGCUACAACAAGGCAGAUGAAUAUACGCUCUGACCCAGACUACCAAGAUACACCUGUUACACCAAGGCCAAUGAAUACAGGCCCAAACUACCAACCUACACCUGCUACAAUAAGGCUGAUGAAAACACGCCCUGGCCCAGAUUACCAAACUACAUCUGCUACACCAAGGCCAAUGAAUACGGGCCCUGGCCCAAACUACCAACCUACAUCUGCUCCACCAAUGAAUACAGGCCCUGGCCCAGACUACCAACCUACAUCUGCUAUACCAAUAAAUACAGGCCCAGACUACCAACCUACAUCCGCUCCACCAAUGAAUACAGGCCUGGACUACCAACCUACAUCUGCUCCACCAAUGAAUACAGGCCCAGACUACGAACCUAUAUCUGCUCCACCAAUGAAUACAGGCCCUGGCCCAGACUACCAACCUAUAUCUGCUCCACCAAUGAAUACAGGCCCUGACCCUGACUACCAACCUAUAUCUGCUCCACCAAUGAAUACAGGCCCUGGCCCAGACUACCAACUUACACCUGCUAUACCAAUGAAUACAGGCCCAGACUACCAACCUAUAUCUGCUCCAGCAAUGAAUACAGGCCCUGGCCCAGACUACCAACCUACACCUGCUAUACCAAUGAAUACAGGCCCAGACUACCAACCUACAUCUGUUCCACCAAUGAAUACAGGCCCUGGCCCAGACUACCAACCUAUAUCUGCUCCACCAAUGAAUACAGGCCCUGGCCCAGACUACCAACCUACAUCUGUUCCACCAAUGAAUACAGGCCCUGGCCCAGACUACCAACCUACACCCGCUAUACCAAUGAAUACAGGCCCAGACUACCAACCUAUAUCUGUUCUACCAAUGAAUACAGGCCCUGGCCCAGACUACCAACCUAUAUCUGCUCCACCAAUGAAUACAGGCCCUGGCCCAGACUACCAACUUACACCUGCUAUACCAAUGAAUACAGGCCCAGACUACCAACCUACACCUGCUAUACCAAUGAAUACAGGCCCAGACUACCAACCUAUGUCUGCUACACCAAGGCUGAUGAAUACACGUUCUGGCCUGGACUACGAAACUAUAUCUGCUACAACAAGGCUAAUGAAUACAGGCCCAGACUACCAAACAACCCCUGCUACACCAAGGCCACUGAAUAUACACCCUGGCCCAGAUUGCCAAACUAUACCAACAAUACUAAGGUAUGAGCACCACUCAAAGGCUCCACCAGAUCCUGAUGCCCAAGACAUUCCUCCCCCUGGAAUAUACCACCAAGCCCAAAUGCCACUGGACAAGGAGGACUAUGGCAUACUCCUAAGACUUCUGAGCAAUCAGGUAAAAGACCCAACAAGCCAGUACUACCAAAAGAUGAAUCCUCCUAGUCCCAUACAACACACUGAGACUCCAACAAGUGAUUACAAUCAAGCUGAGGAUACACCCAGCUCUGACCAGCCAGACGAGGCUCAACCUGGGAAUCAACACCAGACCCAGACUGAGCAGAAUAGAGACACCCCCAGGUGUUUAAAUGACAUCAAGCCUUUCACCAUUGAGGGAUUAAUAACUCUUAGUACACAAGUUGUUGAUAAAAUCAUCAGCUCUAUCCCCGAGGAGAAAAUAAAGAGAGAUAUCUAUAAUCAGGUUCGCCUGUGGCAAAUGAGGGGCUGUCCCAGGCCUACUCAUUGGCCUGAAAGAUAUAUGUCUGCUAGUUAUACAAUCUGUUUAAUUUGUGCCUCAUGGAUACCAAAUGGUUGUCCCCAUGUUCAUGGAAUGAAAUGUUCUUCUCUGGCACAAUUGCUGGCUGUACCAACACCUUUACCUGAUUCAGAGAAGAUGAAUAUGAGAUUUUACCUUAAAGUGCCCCAGCAAAAGCCAAAUACUAUUUCUACUGUCACAGACUACCCUUCCUCUAAAGCCAUGCCCUCAAGCCCUUCACCAGACUUUCCAUCAUGUCGCAAAGCAGACUCUGUUCCCCUGGUGCUUCCGAAACUCACCUGGCUGGACUUCAUACUUGCAAGACAUUACCAACAGAAGGAAGAAAAAUCUUGUCCAGGCCAAAAGCCACCUGAAUUACCCCUGACGAGCAAGACGAACAUAGAAGAAAAAAUGCCAAUGAGAAAAGGGACACAAUUCAAGUCUCUCUUAGAGAAAUUUCAAAGUAGGAGGA